UGACAUCAAUCAAUCCCCCAAACUCACGCGUUGAUAUCAACCCUAUUCAUUUUAAUUUUUUAAUAAAUAUCCAUGAUAGCUACUCCAUUAAUAUUAGCUUUGUGAUAAAUAUCCACAAAAUCUGUUUUAGUGUAAAAUAAAAGCAUGAGUAAAAAGGUUCUUUCAAAGAUUACAACCGAUGGAAGUCAGCAGUUUUUUCUGUUAACGACGAUACCAGUGGAUAAAGAAGAUGGUUUUAACUUGUUACUAACGGAUGGACAAUCAACAUGGACAGGAACUUUUUCAGCUGAUAAUAUGGACAAACAGCGUAAAAGGUUAAAAAUGGAUUUUACCUCAUAUUUUAAUCAAACUGAAAAAGCCUUCAUCAAAGAUGAUAAUGAAGUGAAUUUUGAAUACAGUGUUAAAAUUAAAAAUGAUGAUACAGCUGAAUUGGUGUGGAAGAAACAUGUCACCUCAGAUGAUAUUAAGUUUCAGUUAGGAUGUAUAACUCUAAUGUUAAAAGAUGACCCAGGGACUGGUAUAUGUACGAUAUUAAAUCAUAGCGUAGUCAACAGUGAACGAGAUCAACAUCAACUUAAACAGCUAGAAACAGAUAAUAACAGACUGUCACAAGAACGGAUGAUGGCGUUAAAGUUUAAAAUAAAAGCAUGAGUAAAAAGGUUCUUUCAAAGAUUACAACCGAUGGAAGUGAGCAGUUUUUUCUGUUAACGACGAUACCAGUGGAUAAAGAAGAUGGUUUUAACUUGUUACUAACGGAUGGACAAUCAACAUGGACAGGAACUUUUACAGCUGAUAAUAUGGACAAACAGCGUAAAAGGUUAAAAAUGGAUUUUACCUCGUAUUUUAAUCAAACAGAAAAAGCCUUCAUCAAAGAUGAUGAUGAAGUGAAUUUUGAAUACAGUGUUAAGAUUAAAAAUGAUGAUACGGCUGAAUUGGUGUGGAAAAAACACGUCACCUCAGAUGAUAUUAAGUUUCAGUUAGGAUGUAUAACUCUAAUGUUAAAAGAUGACCCAGGGACUGGUAAAUGUACGAUAUUAAAUCAUAGCGUAGUCAACAGUGAACGAGAUCAACAUCAACUUAAACAGCUAGAAACAGAUAAUAACAGACUGUCACAAGAACGGAUGAUGAUGUUAAAGAGGCUAGAAAAAUGUGUUGCUGCAAAAGAAGAAAUGGAAAAAGAUUUAUUUUCAAAGUUUGUGGCCAUAUUAAAUAGUAAAAAAGAAAAAAUAAGAAAUUUAAAAGAAAAUGGUUCAGGUGAUGAUAAUGAGAAAGAUGAUGGAACAUCAGUGUCACAGUCGAAUUCUACUCGAAAUGGUAGACAAAACAGAGAAUAACGGGUUGAAACAAAUAAAGAAGAAAGGUAAAUAAACCUUAAUUAUUGAACACCUGACCGAAAUGGAAGACAAAACAGAGAACAACAGGUUGAAACAAAUAAAGAAGAAAGCGAUAAAGAAGAAAAUACAGAUGAGGAAGAGACGCCACCACCUAAACGUCAGAGAAAGAAUGUAGGCCGUAAAACUGGUGAUCUAGAUUCAUCGUUAGAUUUAGGGGAUGACGAGAUUACAUCAUCAUCUUCUACGAUAGUUAAAAGGUCAGCUAGAAAGAGAGGAAGUGUAAGAACAGCGACACCAAGUAAACCUAUUUUACCUAAAAUAACUAGAAAUACGUCCAAUGAGAGCUAUGAUGGUGGUCGAGGUCGGAUGAGUAAAAGUAGUUCUAAUAAUUCUAAUGUAUCUAAUAUAGAUCCUGAAGAUUUGUUCAGUGUUUUGUAGACUUAUUUAUCAGACAGAAUAGUACAUAACUGUUUGUAUCUGGUUUAUUUAUCAGACAUUUCAAUCAGUUUCUAAUCUGCUUGAUACUGAAAUUUGAGAGGAAUGGACAACUGUAAUAAUAGGAGGUAGCCAUUGUUUACGAUUCAAACAUAAUGUUGUGUAUUAAUUGUAUAAUUUGUAUAUAAUACAGGCAUAAUGUUGUGUAUUAAACAUAACCUAAUAUUGUAUAUAUCACA